rnacentral:lncRNA from 1 species
ACUCAUCUUAACUUACCUGACCAUCUUGGGAGAUUCAGUUUCAUGCUAGAUUAUUUAUUGACUCGGGUUCACCCAUGCCGACUAGGCUGGCUAGACAUGUUGAUAUGUUGACCUGAAUUUGAUCAGUCGGAUAUCAGAUCUGUUGAUUUAGAAGAGACUUAAAUCUAAAUUUUCUUACUAAAUAUUAAGUCUAGAGGUCUUCCAUCAUUGUAGAGAUGCAUGUGCCUUCCUGGUGUUGAUCAUUUUUGACUGAUUAUAGUAGUUCGAUUGCAUCGAGAAAGUACAACCACUUUAUUGACAUUUGAUAUCCUGGGGUAGAGAUAGGAUUGAGCCCAAUAAUUAUUAGGUGAGGGUCCCAAUGAUGGCUUUACGUCCGCUGGUGAACGAUGGGUCUGGCUUAACUAAAAAAUAUGCCAAUAACUAUUAGAUGAGGCCACAAGACUUAGAGACUAAGCACAUUGCAUCUUGCUUAGUG